rnacentral:rRNA from 1 species
GACGAACGCUGGCGGCGUGCUUAACACAUGCAAGUCGAACGGAAAGGCCCUGCUUUUGUGGGGUGCUCGAGUGGCGAACGGGUGAGUAACACGUGAGUAACCUGCCCUUGACUUUGGGAUAACUUCAGGAAACUGGGGCUAAUACCGGAUAGGAGCUCCUGCUGCAUGGUGGGGGUUGGAAAGUUUCGGCGGUUGGGGAUGGACUCGCGCCUUAUCAGCUUGUUGGUGGGGUAGUGGCUUACCAAGGCUUUGAAGGGUAGCCUGCCUGAGAGGGUGACCUGCCACAUUGGGACUGAGCUACGGCCCAGACUCCUACGGGAGGCAGCAGUGGAGAAUAUUGCACUAUGGGCGGAAGCCUGAUGCAGCAACGCCGCGUGCGGGAUGACGGCCUUCGGGUUGUAUUCCGCUUUCGCCUGUGACGAAGCGUGAAUGACGGUAAUGGGUAAAGAAGCACCGGCUAACUACGUG